ACAAAUAAAGGAAAACAUAAAGACUACUCAACAAUAUUUAUUUAUCUUAUUUUUAAUCAAAAGACUUUGGAAAACCAAUUAUAUCUUGGCAUGAUAACAUCACAGGAGACAAGAGUCAAAUCUAUAAGAAAUCUGCAAUCAGUUCUUGUUCAUAAACAAUAUGUCAACAGACCUCAAGAAAUAAAUURUAAAUGACAAUUAUGCUGUUAUUUCCACAGCAUUUUUAUAGUUUUCAGUCUUAAUAGGGACAAAACAAGUUUGUCUAGUUUUCUCAAAUCAUGCACAUUGUUAAUUGUUAAUUCUAAAUUGUCACUUUGUAAGAGAGAACUUGUCUCGUUUGUCUCUAUGUGAACUGGUGGUGAACUUGUGAUCUGUCCAGAAUGUCCUCCACAUCUCACCCAGUGACUGCUGGAACCAGCUCGCCCAGUGACCCUGAAUAGAAAAGGGAGGACAUGAAGAACUGAAAAAAAAAAGACAUUUGAGACUAAGUCUGUACUGCAAACAGUGGAUCUGCUCUCAGGCAGCACUACUCAGUUUCCUCCGCUCUGUCUUGAUGCGAAACACCUACAGCAAAUCUACCAACACAUUGGUGAUCCACUGCAGCCAGGCAGGGGAGCAAAAACGACUGAUUGGGACUAGAACUGCCUUUUGGGACCAUCUCCUCGUCUGUGCUGUGUCUCAGAACCGAGCUUCCUCAUCACAGAGCACACCUCCCCACCCCAYCACUCUGGCAGCAACAACUAGCAAGCACCCGGUGAAAACCAUG